GAGUUUGAUCCUGGCUCAGAGUGAACGCUGGCGGUAGGCCUAACACAUGCAAGUCGAACGGCAGCACAGGAGAGCUUGCUCUCUGGGUGGCGAGUGGCGGACGGGUGAGGAAUACAUCGGAAUCUACUUUUUCGUGGGGGAUAACGUAGGGAAACUUACGCUAAUACCGCAUACGACCUACGGGUGAAAGCAGGGGAUCUUCGGACCUUGCACGAUUGAAUGAGCCGAUGUCGGAUUAGCUAGUUGGCGGGGUAAAGGCCCACCAAGGCGACGAUCCGUAGCUGGUCUGAGAGGAUGAUCAGCCACACUGGAACUGAGACACGGUCCAGACUCCUACGGGAGGCAGCAGUGGGGAAUAUUGGACAAUGGGCGCAAGCCUGAUCCAGCCAUACCGCGUGGGUGAAGAAGGCCUUCGGGUUGUAAAGCCCUUUUGUUGGGAAAGAAAUCCAGCUGGUUAAUACCCGGUUGGGAUGACGGUACCCAAAGAAUAAGCACCGGCUAACUUCGUGCCAGCAGCCGCGGUAAUACGAAGGGUGCAAGCGUUACUCGGAAUUACUGGGCGUAAAGCGUGCGUAGGUGGUCGUUUAAGUCCGUUGUGAAAGCCCUGGGCUCAACCUGGGAACUGCAGUGGAUACUGGACGACUAGAGUGUGGUAGAGGGUAGCGGAAUUCCUGGUGUAGCAGUGAAAUGCGUAGAGAUCAGGAGGAACAUCCAUGGCGAAGGCAGCUACCUGGACCAACACUGACACUGAGGCACGAAAGCGUGGGGAGCAAACAGGAUUAAAUACCCUG
rnacentral:rRNA from 1 species